rnacentral:lncRNA from 10 species
UUGCAGCCAAACGCAAAUGAAUCUCAGACAAAUUCUGCUUGUCAUAACUCUAUUCAUUGUGCUCUUUGGCCUAAUCUUAUCAUUGUUAAUAGUUCCGUAUGAUUCAGACACUGAUUUGGAUACUCGAGGUCCUCUGACUGAGUUUCCUAAACAAGAAAUGAUACUUCACAUGCCUGAAAAUGAAUAAUCUAGAAUAUUUCAUUAACAUUCAGCUGACCAGUUUUAAAUAAGAGCAGUUGGGAUUGCAUUCAAUUAAACUGGAGUCUAUAAGAGUGUCAUGAGGCAAGAUGGAGUUUCUUAUUGAAGGUGAAGGCCAAGCAAGACCAGCGACAGCAUCAUGACAGAGCAUCUCAUGGAACUAGUGAUCUACAAAAUACUUUGGAAGUCCUAGUACAGUUUGAGCUUGUGCAGAAAAUAUGGAGCAUUUUAAAUUGACCAAUCUUAAGUAAGUGAAGAAGACAAAGUUGGAAAGCCCCUGCACUUGAUGGAUCAGCUGGCACCACCCAGAUCAAUAAACUGGCUCAUCUGAUCUUCUGGACCCCCACCCAGGAAAUGAUUCAGCACAAGAAGACAGCUCUAACUCCCUAUGAUUUCAUCUCUGACCAAUCGGCUCUCCUGGAACACUGGCUUCCCCCACCCACCAAGUUAUCCUUAAAAACUCUGCUCCCCAAAUGCUCAGGGAGACUGAUUUGAGUAAUAAUAAAACCCUGGUCUCCCGCACAGCUGGCUCUGUGUGAAUUACUCUUUUUCUAUUACAGUUCCCCUGUCCUGAUGAAUCGGCUCUGUCUAGGCAGCAGGCAAGGUGAAUCCCUUAGGCAGUU